AUUGAACGCUGGCGGCAGGCCUAACACAUGCAAGUCGAGCGAGCGGCGGACGGGUGAGUAAUGUAUGGGAAACUGACUGAUGGAGGGGGCUAACUACUGGAAAAGGUAGCUAAUACCGCAUACCAUCAGAUGUGCCCAGAUGGGCUUAGCUGGUAGGUGGGGUAACGGCUCACCUAGGCGACAAUCCCUAGCGGGUGUGAGAGGAUGACCAGCCACACUGUAACUGAGACAAGGUCCAGACUCCUACGGUGGGCAGCAGUGGGGAAUAUUGUAUAAUGGGCGCAAGCCUGAUGCAGCUAUGCCGCGUGUGUGAAGAAGGCCUUCGGGUUGUAAAGCACUUUCAGCUGGGAGGCGUUACCCGCAUAAGAAGCACCGGCUAACUCCGUGCCAGCAGCCGCGGUAAUAC
rnacentral:rRNA from 1 species